GAGUCGAGGUCGUAUCGUAUACAGCAUAGUAGCGAGCAAAGAAAUCCCGGGAAGAAAUCGUGGAAGAAAUAAUCGACAAGUUUAUUUUAGGAUCUGAAAAGCAGAUUGUUUUUCUUUUAAAUAUAUUAUUCAGUUUUUGGGGUGGAUCUAGGCCUGUUUUACAGUUGUCGGCCACGGUUGUCGGGGAAGUUCACGGUUGGCGGAUUUGCCCUGAAAAUUUUCAGGGUUGUCGGCGCCCGCCAACCGUGACGCGUGGUAGCGAGAACGUUGAGUCCUGGCUACUCAGGAUGCCGGAGGCUCAGUACUGACAUGUAGACUACCCAGCCCUUCUCCUCCUACUUUCCCAAUACCAGUGGUUAUUAUGCAGAGAUGGGAAUCUUCACCACCACCAAUGGUAGCUCUGGCUCAUGGUUAUUAUGCAGAGAUGGGGAAAUCUUCAUCGCCACCAAUGGUAACUCCUGUUCCUGGUUAUUAUGCAGAGAUGGGGAAUCUAUACCACCACCAAUGGUAACUCCGGCUCCUGAUUAUUAUGAGUGAUGGACAAUAUUUACCACCACCAAUGGUAGCUCUGGCUCCUGGUUAUUAUGCAGAGAUGGAGAAAAUCUUCACCACCACCAAUGGUAGCUCCUGGUUAUUAUGCAGAGAUGGAGAAUCUUCACCACCACCACCAAUGGUAGCCCCGGCCCCUGGUUAUUAUGCAGAGAUGGAGAAUCUUCAGAAGUAGAGAGAUGAUGCUAUAGAAGAGGCAGAGAACCUGCAGGAAGCAUAAACUGUUAUCCAUGAGAGCAAAGCUGAGAAAUCUAAGCUUCUUCUGGCAGAAGUCACCCAACAGGAAGCGCAAUACGGAGCUACAUGUAGAUUAGGAAGAAGUCAAUGUCAUGCUGGAGGGAUUCCCUGACAUUUGCUCCAGCGACAAUUGCUCCGCUACAAAUUCUACACACUAAACAAAUGACUAAUUUCAACCCUGGAUUUGACACUAUACCCUUCCUUAAACGUAACAUAAAGCCCUAAUGUAACUCUAACCCUAACCCUACAUCUUACACAAAAUAAAGCCUGAAGUAAUUGUCACAGGAGCAAAUGUCUUGUCACCGUUGGACGAUGGACUCAACAAACUCAGGUCAAAGGUCAAGAAAAUGCCAGAAAUAUGCCACGAGAUCCAGUGCUUUACUUCGCAGCUUAGAGGAGUCUUACACAGCUGAUGGAACAAAGUAAUACUUAAAUCUUGUCACUCGGUGUACAACAUGGAUGCACCCCCUAUCUGGGAAAGUCUACCAGAGCUAAAGAUGUGACACAAUCUUGACAUCUUCAUCUGCACUGAAUGUCUGGUGUGAUAAUUUGUUGGUACAUACAUGGACAUGAUGUAUAAUCCACCUGUAAAGAAAGACCACCUUCUCAGAAAGACCAAAUGUUAUAUCCUUUGAAACAUACAUGUACAACAAAGGAACCUGUUUGUAAAUACCUCUUUUUCUUAUAUCUGAGAGAAUGACUAUCAGGGACCGGUACUUUGACAUCAGACAUUAUACACAGUCUGUUUUUGGUGCUCCACUAUAUGUUCUUAAUAUGGAAAUUUCCACCAUGUAAUUCAACUUGAAUGAACCAAAUGCCAGUUUGAAAGACUAUCUGCAUUCGCUACUUAUGAACCAGGAUGGGAAAUGUUUUUUUUAUUUUUAGGGGCUUAUUUUGUCCACAAUGGGGUUUUUGCUGACUUUUGGGAGCUAUUUCUUUCAUAUUAACAGCUACAUUUUUGUGCAACAAGCACUUACGCUGCAAAAUCAUUUCUCAUCAUUCUGCUGUACAGGGGUGUAUGUAGAAUAUUAAUUUUUAGACAAUUUUUAGACAAUAUUAGCUCCCCAAAGUGUUCAAUUUUGUGAAUUUUCCAACACUGUCAUGAACCCAUUUUUAGGUAUUUAUGAUGACUUUUGUGUAUCUCAAAGGUUCAAGGUCCAAGCUAUUAUCUCCGAACAGUGAUUUUCAGUUUGAAUUAAAGAAAGUCCUUUUCUCUUCUUGAAACAUUUUAUUCUAUUUCAAACUUGAUCGAGAAUGAAAUUCUGUUUUUGAGAGAAAACGUACGCAUAAAAAGCAUGAAUUCCAUUUUGCAAUGAGUUUUCUCCUUAAAAGUAUAGAACCAAAACAGAUUUUUCGUUUUGAUUUUAAGACUGGUAAACAGAAAACUACUGUCCCUAAUUAUUUGCUGACUUUCCAAAUUAUCUGAAUUAUCUGUUGUUUCAUCAAUGGAUGCAUACUAUGUAGGGCAUGAUUACUAGGAGAAAAUGAUAUGUGCAUAUUAAAGGUUACAAAUGAUUUUCAAGUAUCAUGAGGUUUAUAAUUAAUAUGGCUUGUAGGUUUUUGUGGAGUUAUAUCGGUUUAAAUGAAGUUAAUAAUUGUGUUAAUUUUGUGUUUACUAUUCUGCAAAAGUGAACCCAAAGGUUUUCCAGAGUUUUCCUCGAAUGAAUUUAUCUCUGGUUUUUACCCUGGAUUUACUUGCCGUAGAAUAAUUGUUUAAAGGGGGAUGUAAGUCCCGGACCAUGGGGGAAAUUGGAUCGUAAGCAAUUUGCAAAAGGCUUGUUUACUUUAUGCACACAAUAAUAAUACUGUACUGGAUUAUUAAAAGAAAUCAAAAAUUGGAAAGCGCGAAUUCAACCCAUCCAAGGGUCGUUAUUUAUUUUAAGUUGCCGAAGUUCUCUUCAAUCCUUCGUCGUAGACUCUUAACUGGUCUCUUGAUUGUUAAUCCAAACAAACUCCAUCUAUUACACUUAUAUGUUCAAAUUGAAAAUUUACUUUGCACCUGGAUGGCUCUGCGCCAAUCAUGUGAUACCCCUUAAGGCUUUUCUCAGAUUUUAUUUGUAAUUUGCUUUUUCAUGUGUCCAGCCACCCCCAAACCAACAAUAAGUUGCAAUGGAAGCUUCUCUGUAAAUAGCCAAAAAAGUAGCUUCUUCAUACUGUCAGAAUUUUGGAUUAGAAAAGUUAAAUAGAAAAAAAAAUAGAUACAAGAGUUUCUUUGACAUUAGUUUUUGCAGGCUACUUGAAAGUUCCACAGUGGACCAUGGUUUAUGACUUGCGUUCCUCUUUAACACAAGACCCCCCCCUGAUUUGAAUUUGUGCGCAAUGCAGCACAAUAGCUUUAUAUACACUUAUUUUCCAUGAAUAUCAUUAACAUGUUCUGUCCAGUUUCAUGAAUUAUUAUGAUACAAAGAGAGUUUAUGAUAAAUUUUUUUAAUUUCAUAUUCUAAAUUAGAGAUUAAGGCUAUUUCAAAUGCAGGAAUAGCAAAGUUUGUUCUAAGCUAAUUCAGUCUAGUUUUUAUUUUGAUUUCAUAAAAUAUUUUUGUAUCGUCUGCAUAGAUAAUGAAAUUUGAUAUUUCAAAGGAUUCAAUGAUGUCAUUAACACAAAUAAAAAACACCCAUGUACACUUCAUUGCAGGAUAACAUAUGUUAUGGAAAGAAUAUAUAGAUCGAAAUAUCAGAUC